rnacentral:rRNA from 1 species
AUCCGAGCGUUAUCCGGAUUUAUUGGGUUUAAAGGGAGCGUAGAUGGGUUGUUAAGUCAGUUGUGAAAGUUUGCGGCUCAACCGUAAAAUUGCAAUUGAUACUGGCAGUCUUGAGUACAGUUGAGGUAGGCGGAAUUCGUGGUGUAGCGGUGAAAUGCUUAGAUAUCACGAAGAACUCCGAUUGCGAAGGCAGCUUACUAACCUGUAACUGACAUUGAUGCUCGAAAGUGUGGGUAUCAAA